AGUUGUCAGCUUCAUUUGGCUGUGUCAUCGAUCAAUUCACUGAUUGACAAGACUGUUUUGGUUAAUCUGGCUGGCUAGGCAGAUGGCCCCCUUUUUCUUCCCUCAUCACACCACAUGCAUUCCUCCUAAAGCUACAUAUUUAGAUGGAGAAGGUGAGCUAACUUGAUGAACAAGAUUCUGAAAGCAAGCUUGACUACUAGGCUUGAAGAAGAAGAAAUGAUACAAGACACACAGAAGCAGAAUAUCAAGCCAACAUUCUUUAGCUGUUGAUG
rnacentral:snRNA from 1 species